CUCCAUCGUUGGUUGGGUACAUUCUUGGAAUCAGCAAUGGUCUGUGCCAGUUUGUGCCAAGCGUAUAAAAUACCACUGUGUAAGUGGAGUGAAUCACUGGAAUUUUCUACCUAAGGGACAUACUGUUAAGUAACAAGAACAGGAAGCUCCAGGACCCCUUACCCUGGCUGAGGUGAGCUUCGAUAACAGAAGUCUGCCACUCGACGCGCAACGUUGUACAACUUUGCUGCUUCAGCCUCUGCCUGGGAUUGUUUUGUUAAUACGAGUCAUCCUUGUGGUUCCCUUGUCAACUUGGGCAUUACGGAGAGCCCGAUAGGAUCAAGGUUGUGUUUUACAUAUCUUGGACGACCUAUAUUAUGCUGAUGUUCUGGUUGGAUUUGAAAUAUUGUUGGACGUGUCUUUCUAGCUCACUUAAUAGCGAUUCCUUGGAAAGUGGGGGCCAGGCUUUGUGUCUCCCCCCCACAGGAUGCUUACCAGUGUAUGUAAUAGAUGCUCAAUUAUUAUAUAUUGACUUGGAUCCAGCAUUUCAGACCUUUGGAGGAGACCAGCUGCUAGGUACAACAAUUUCGUUUCAUUUCUCAGUAAAGGACUGCGUUCAGGAGACUCAGAUCAGAGCCACAGUGGGAAUUUCUUUGUUUUGAGAAUUUUUGUGUUCACAAUGCUGUUGGAAGAGUGUUGUUGCCACGGGCUUCUACUGAGGUGGCUGAGGGCAUCUGCUUUCUCUCUAAAUUCAUGAUGAUGCUCAUCUCCCAGGCAGGCUAGGUGACGCCCCCACUAGCUGGGCCCUGAGGCGGCCAUGACCCCAGCACAUUAUCACAGAGGCGGAGGAUGUGGAUCGAGGGUAAAGCUGUUGGGGACUGCUAAAAAUCUAGUUUAUGAAUUGACUGGAUGAAACGCUACAUGGUAAACCAAUGAACACAUCUCACAUGCUGAAGUAUUUUUAAGAAGGCUGUCUGGGAAAUCAUGCCACUAUCUUCAGGAGGGGUCAAGAGUGACUUGAAGUGUGGGCAUCUCUUUAAAUCUGCACUCCUUGGCUGGGCACUGGGGACGUGUGCUGUAAGCUAUAAAGAAACAAAGCCCCCCGGGAAAUCGUGCUGGUCAUCCCUUCGAGUGGAGCCCAGAGGCGGGAAAACAUCUGAGCCAAACUUUCUCUUGACUCUGCUCAGAACUCACUGUGGGGUUCUGGGCAUUUCAUUUCCUCACAUGGGCAAUGUUGUGGGCCAUCUUGAUUCCUGGCCCUCCACCCCAAAGAGUAGCCCCCUGCGGUCGCUAAGUAAACUGCGGAAAGCACACAGUGCAGUCAAUCCAGGCUGCGCUGGCAUCUCCUGGGGAGCCUGAAACCAUGCAUGCCGAUGCCUGAGCUCUAGCCCAAGAGUUCUGGUUAACCGGCCUGGGGAGGGGCCUGGACAUCUGUAUUUUGUAAAAGCCAUCCAGGUGAAUCUUAUAGAGCUAAGGGACCCGAGGUUGAGGAGCACUAUGCCAGAGUAGUAAGAUGAACACCAGCUCAGCAGCAGCAGCGCAGCCGCCACCACAGCAACCCCGAGAGCACCCGAAACAGUAACAGAGGAGCCAGCCUUGGCUGGGAGAGUGCCAGGAAAGGAAGAUGCUCGCUUGGAUCCAGGCUCCACCUGGCACUGGCUGGGACCACAGACUCACUCUUCAGUCAAUCAGCAGGCUAGCACACAUUUGUUCAGUGCAUGCUGUGUGCUGCACGGGGCAGCGGACAGGGCAUGCGGAGUAACAGGCCCCAGCCUCCCCUGGACACGCAGAGUCAACAUGACAGAGGUGUGAACCGGAUACAGAGGGCACACAUUCCACCUGGGGUGUGACAGGAAAGACGAAAUAUUAUCGGAUGUUGUAGCAGGUCCUAAAAUACACAGACCCACAGACUGAAGAAUACUGUCCUCAGUCUGUGAAAGGGGAAGGAGCGGUGGAGGUUGUAGUGGCUGGAUAUCAUUUCAGAAGAACCUGUCAUUUUUCCAGGAGAAGAGACUGUAAGAGGAAAGUCCUGGAGGGAGCUGGGCAAGUUACAUUGUAUUUGAUUCCUGACUACUGUCUCUAAACCGAGGAUUCAAAUUGUUAGACUCAAUUCAUGACCUUGUUGGAAAUUUCCAGCCAACCCACUGCUCAAUCACCUUAACUAGGAGAAAAUAUUUUAUGAUAUAGUGGAAACAAAUGAUAACAGUGUUGAGAGGGACAAGCUUAACACAGAAUCCAGACUUCACACGUUCACGUGGGGGAGAUAGAAGUCGCGGAGUAGGCUGAUUUCUGAUGACAACCUGAUUUAAUUUGCAAUAUGACUGCAUCAGUGGCUGCUCAAAAAGCUGUUUCCAACAUUUUGCAUCAAUAUAGCAGCUCUGGGAUCCUGAAGAAAUUUGUAUUUGCUGUCUAAGACCGGAAGGGUGGAGGAAUACAGGCCAGCAAGCCCUCGGAUCGACCCCGUACCCACGCCGACGGAGGAGAAGUGGACACGUGCUCAGUUAGAGAAGAGAACGGCACCUGCAGUCACCUGGGGCCAGAGGAUGUGGCAGACGCAUUUCAGCAGGGAGCUAGUUCAGGGGAACUAAUCAUUUCUGCAGAAAAGAGAGCAGAGACGCCUACUCUGACUGCAGGUGACAUCUCUCUGGACACGUUCUCAGAAACCCUGCACCAGGAAUUGAGUUGUCUUGGAUUCCGACGUGCCUGGUCUGACUCAUGGAAAAUAAUCUAUAAAUUCUACCUUGCUACUGAGCAUCGGAAGUUUGAUUCUAUGUGUCAAUUUCUGUAAGUAUUACUUCUAGAAACACAGAAAUGAAUUAUUUAAUACAUCUGUAGCACAAGUCCUUGGAGAGGAAGCAAGAAUUCAG
rnacentral:lncRNA from 1 species